AAUUCCCCAUUUCAACUGCGAUUCCCCAUUUCCACUGCGAUUCCCCAUUUCCACUGCGAUUCCCCAUUUCCACUGGGAUUCCCCAUUUCCACUGCAAUUCCCCAUUUCCACUGCAAUUCCCCAUUUCCACUGCAAUUCCCCAUUUCCAGUGCAAUUCCCCAUUUCCCCUGCCAUUCCCCAUUUCCCCUGCAAUUCCCCAUUUCCAGUGCAAUUCCCCAAUUCCACUGGGAUUCCCCAUUUCCACUGCAAUUCCUCAUUUCCACUGCGAUUCCCCAUUUCCACUGCAAUUCCCCAUUUCCAGUGCAAUUCCCCAUUUCCACUGGGAUUCCCCAUUUCCCCUGCCAUUCCCCAUUUCCAGUGCAAUUCCUCAUUUCCACUGGGAUUCCCCUUUUCCCCUGCAAUUCCUCAUUUCCAGUGCAAUUCCCCAUUUCCAGCAGGACCUGGUGGAUGCUGGGGGUGGCAGAAGGGCAAUUCCCCCCUUGCUGCAGGCAAACCAACUGCUGGUCACUUCCAGAGCCAACACAAUUCAAUUUAUUCUAUCAAAGAGCCCACCCUGGGCACUGAGGAACCCCCCUGCCCUAGGGGCUCACCCAGCACACCCCCCAAGGGACAGGGGGGCUCUCCCAGGCAAGCCCACCCAUCCCUGGGAUUAUUUCAGUGCCAGGGCAGGGUGUGCUGGGAAACCCAGCUGAAAUCAGGGCCCAGGCAGCACAAAAACACAGGCAGGGAACUCAGGGAGGUUUCUCCUCUGCUCCAUCUCAGUCAGAAUUAUUCUGCUCCUGAGCAGAGUGACACGGCCAAGCUGAUGUGGGGAAUCUGUGCAGGGAAAAGGGAAUAAUCCCAAUUAUGUCCACCUUGUGACCCCGUCAUUUCCUUGUACAGGAUCUGCUCACAAGAGCUUUGAAUUUUUAAAUGACCACAAGGCACAGCAAAAAAUGAUCCUAUUGACACCUCUUCCUACAGAAAUUUAUGAAUUGCAGUAAAACUUCCCAGACAUCUCAGUGUUUUUUACAUGGAACACAA
rnacentral:lncRNA from 1 species